rnacentral:rRNA from 2 species
CAGUCGAGCGAACUGAUUAGAAGCUUGCUUCUAUGACGUUAGCGGCGGACGGGUGAGUAACACGUGGGCAACCUGCCUGUAAGACUGGGAUAACUUCGGGAAACCGAAGCUAAUACCGGAUAGGAUCUUCUCCUUCAUGGGAGAUGAUUGAAAGAUGGUUUCGGCUAUCACUUACAGAUGGGCCCGCGGUGCAUUAGCUAGUUGGUGAGGUAACGGCUCACCAAGGCAACGAUGCAUAGCCGACCUGAGAGGGUGAUCGGCCACACUGGGACUGAGACACGGCCCAGACUCCUACGGGAGGCAGCAGUAGGGAAUCUUCCGCAAUGGACGAAAGUCUGACGGAGCAACGCCGCGUGAGUGAUGAAGGCUUUCGGGUCGUAAAACUCUGUUGUUAGGGAAGAACAAGUACGAGAGUAACUGCUCGUACCUUGACGGUACCUAACCAGAAAGCCACGGCUAACUACGUGCCAGCAGCCGCGGUAAUACGUAGGUGGCAAGCGUUAUCCGGAAUUAUUGGGCGUAAAGCGCGCGCAGGCGGUUUCUUAAGUCUGAUGUGAAAGCCCACGGCUCAACCGUGGAGGGUCAUUGGAAACUGGGGAACUUGAGUGCAGAAGAGAAAAGCGGAAUUCCACGUGUAGCGGUGAAAUGCGUAGAGAUG